CUGAUCUACUGAUCAUAGUUUUCCAGGGAAGAGUAAAUAUGAAGAGAGUGAGAGUGGGACACAGAGGGCAGAGGAGAAAGAGGAGAGAGCUGUUAUCUGUGAGUGAAGGCAGAUAUCUAUGUGCAUUAUCCAAUGUUCCUAGGACUGUGCAGUCAAAAUUCAUGUGAAAGCAUGUUCGAAGGAUUCAAAAGGCUCGGUGGCUGGACAGAGUCAGGAAGACUCUAAGGUACAGGUACUGAACGUGACAGAUUAAAACACCUGGCACCUGGAGGGGAGGACUGGGGAGGUUCUAACAUGAGUUGAAAAAGCUAAGCCCUAAAGGGUUUAAUUUAGGAGACCGGUGGCGAUGUUGUAGUUGAGCAGUGUAACUAGGAAGGCUUUGGUCCAACAGACCUUCGGACUGGAUAAAUGCUCCUGGGAUGAUUUAGCCUAGGCGAGGAAGCAGAAAGAUAGAGGUUCAAAGAUUUUACUUCCUGCUACUGUGGCAACGUGGGAUUUGAGAGUCACUGUCAUCCAGUGUCACGUGAAUAGGGUGAGACGGUGGCCCUUGCUGGGCCAGCCCCAGCCCCUCUGCCCUCCUGCUGCUGCUGGAGUGCAGGCGCGAUCUGGGCUCACUGCAGCCUCCACCCCCUGGCUCAAGCCUCCCACCCCAGCCUCCCAAGUAGCUGGGAUUACAGGUGCGUGUCACCCAGCUAAUUUCUGUAUUUUCUUUUAGAGACAGGGUCUUGCUAUGUUGCUCAGGCUGGCCUGGAUCUCUGCAGUUCAAGCAAUCGGCCAGUCUCCGCCUCCCAAAGUGCUGGGAUUACAGGCAUGAGCCACCUUACCUGGCUAUUUUUUUGUAUUUUUUUGCAGAGAACUCCUGGGCUCAAGCAAUCCUCCUGCCUCGAUCAUUUGUUUUUAAAUGAGCCUGUAUUGCCUGUAAUUUUCAAGACGGUAUAGAGCUUACAGAAAAAGCCCUUUAUAGAAAACCCUGAGGUUUUCCAAAGAAGGGGUGAUUCUGCUUCAAAACUGCAACCCUGUCUGAGUUUCCAGCCUGCAAACACCAGAUUCAAAGCUGCUUCAGAACUGCAACCCUACCUGAGUUUCCAGCCCGCAAACACCAGAUUCAAAGCUGCAGCAUCAACUCCUCCCUGAGUCUUCAGCCUGACAGGCUGCUCUACAGAUUUCAGAUUUGCCAGCCCCUACAAUUCUGUGAAUCAGUUCCUUAAAAUAAACAUUUCUCUCUAUAUUUAUGCAAAUGGAUAAAUGAUGGAUAGCUGUAGAUUUCACUACAUAGAUAUAGAUAUAUAGAUCAAGGAGAUCUCCUAUUGGUUCAAUAAAUCUAUUGGUUUUGUUUCUUUGAAGAGCCCUAAACAGUAUUUUUGCUUACUUUUUAAAAUUAGUAUAUUCACCUAUUUCUUACUGAGAAAAUUUACUUAAUAAAAUGAUUAGCCCUUUAAAUGUCUCAUGAUGCUAGUAUUUUUCUCAUCGUUUGUGGUUUGCUUUUUUGUUUUCCAACAAUAGAAGUGUUUACAUUUUUAGAAAGCAUUUAUUUCUUUGAAUUUGUUCCUGUACAGCUAUUCCCCGUUACAAGAUACAGACAUAUUCCUCUGUAUAUUUCCUUCUAAGUAUUGUUUUAUUUGUUACAUAUAAUUUAGUAAUCUGUGGAAUUUACUUUGAUAUAUGAUAGAAGAUAAAAAUGUAUACUUUUACUUACAUAGUUUAUCAAUUGUUUCACCACCAUUAAAAAACAACUUACAGAUUUGAAACGGUUAUUUUAGCUAGGGCUGCCAAAUUUAGCUAAUAAAAAGAAA
rnacentral:lncRNA from 10 species